UACGAAGGGGGCUAGCGUUGCUCGGAAUCACUGGGCGUAAAGCGCACGUAGGCGGAUCGUUAAGUCGGGGGGUGAAAUCCUGGAGCUCAACUCCAGAACUGCCUUCGAUACUGGCGAUCUUGGAGUCCGGGAGAGGUGAGUGGAACUCCGAGUGUAGAGGUGAAAUUCGUAGAUAUUCGCAAGAACACCAGUGGCGAAGGCGGCUCACUGGCCCGGUACUGACGCUGAGGUGCGAAAGCGUGGGGAGCAACAGGG
rnacentral:rRNA from 1 species